rnacentral:rRNA from 1 species
CCUACGGGAGGCAGCAGUGGGGAAUAUUGGACAAUGGGCGCAAGCCUGAUCCAGCAAUGCCGCGUGAGUGAUGAAGGCCUUAGGGUUGUAAAGCUCUUUUACCCGAGAUGAUAAUGACAGUAUCGGGAGAAUAAGCCCCGGCUAACUCCGUGCCAGCAGCCGCGGU